GGUUAGCGAUACCUGGCACGCUGGAGGAACGUCGAUUCUUAAGCGACGCGUUCCUCUGCCUGUUGCAGUUACGACUCGAUCUCAGAAGAGGUCGCGAUGAACGUAACCGCCAGUUGCGAGAAGUUUCAGAGGCGACAGGGGCGAGGGGCACUUGCCAGUGCCUGCCCCUGGUAAGAAGCUACGGCUCUGUACCAGGGGCAGGUACCCAACCUUCCUCCUCCCGGAUUGACAUAUGGCAACUCGACCCCUGAACGGAUCUCGGACUGUCCCUGGCGACUAACCCCUGCCAGGCCCCCUUUCCCUUCCACCUCCAGGAGCAAACGUCAGCCGAACAUCUUUCCUGUCAGCUCUGCAAGCAUUCCUUGGCCUUCUGGUACAACUACUACCUCGACGCGACUAGCCCGAAGGAAUCAAUGUUUUUUAGACUAUUGGCAGUUUAUUGACGUUUAACUCCCGGAAUAACGAUCUCACUUAUGUUGCACUGUAUUUUGUUCCAUCGUUUACACAUUGCAAUCAGAAGUUGAUUGCAUUCAAUCAUCCAUUCUACCAGAGCUGCUCUCUUCCUCCCCUCUCGGCCAGCGAUGUCUCUUGAUUCAGUUUUAACUUGUUGCUCUGAGCACUAUGUUGUAUUUUAAAGCACAAUAUAUUGUGCCGAUGUGUAUGAGGCUAUACAAACUUUUUCAACUAGUCGAAUAAAAUUAUAUUUUGAUAAA